rnacentral:rRNA from 1 species
CGGAGGGUGCAAGCGUUAUCCGGAUUCACUGGGUUUAAAGGGCGCGUAGGUGGAUUAGUAAGUCAGUGGUGAAAUCUCUGGGCCUAACCCAGAAACUGCCAUUGAUACUAUUAGUCUUGAAUACCGUGGAGGUCAGCGGAAUAUGUCAUGUAGCGGUGAAAUGCUUAGAUAUGACAUAGAACACCAAUUGCGAAGGCAGCUGGCUACACGAAUAUUGACACUCAGGCACGAAAGCGUGGGGAUCAAACAGGAUUAGAUACCCUGGUAGUCCACGCCCUAAACUAUGGAUACUCGACAUACGCGAUACACUGUGUGUGUCUGAGCGAAAGCAUUAAGUAUCCCACCUGGGAAGUACGAUCGCAAGAUUG